rnacentral:rRNA from 1 species
AUGAACGCUAGCUACAGGCUUAACACAUGCAAGUCGAGGGGCAGCGGGAUUGAAGCUUGCUUCAAUUGCCGGCGACCGGCGCACGGGUGAGUAACGCGUAUCCAACCUUCCGUACACUCAGGGAUAGCCUUUCGAAAGAAAGAUUAAUACCUGAUGGUAUGAUGAGAUUGCAUGAUAGCAUCAUUAAAGAUUUAUCGGUGAUGGAUGGGGAUGCGUCUGAUUAGCUUGUUGGCGGGGUAACGGCCCACCAAGGCGACGAUCAGUAGGGGUUCUGAGAGGAAGGUCCCCCACAUUGGAACUGAGACACGGUCCAAACUCCUACGGGAGGCAGCAGUGAGGAAUAUUGGUCAAUGGGCGAGAGCCUGAACCAGCCAAGUAGCGUGCAGGAUGACGGCCCUAUGGGUUGUAAACUGCUUUUAUAAGGGAAUAAAGUGGGAGUCGUGACUCUUUUUGCAUGUACCUUAUGAAUAAGGACCGGCUAAUUCCGUG